rnacentral:rRNA from 1 species
CCUACGGGGGGCAGCAGUAGGGAAUCUUUCACAAUGGGCGAAAGCCUGAUGGAGCAACGCCGCGUGCAGGAUGAAGGCCUUAGGGUUGUAAACUGCUUUUAUAAGCGGGAAAUAUGAUGGUACCUUAUGACUCAGGAUCGGCUAACUACGUGCAAGCAGCCGCGGUCAUACGUAGGAUCCGAGCAUUAUCCGGAGUGACUGGGUGUAAAGAGUUGCGUAGGUGGCAUAAUAAGUAGCUAAGUAAAUCUGGUGGCCCAACCAUUCAGACUAUUAGCUAAACUGUUAAGCUCGAGACCGUUAGGGGUAACUGGAAUUUCUAGUGUAGUAGUGAAAUCCGUAGAUAUUAGAAAGAACACCAAUAGCGUAGGCAGGUUACUGGGACGGUUCUGACACUAAGGCACGAAAGCGUAGGGAGAAAACGGGAUUAGAUACCCCAGUAGUC